AAUGAACGCUGGCGGCAUGGAUUAGGCAUGCAAGUCGAACGCUCUCUUCGGAGAGAGUGGCGAAAGGGUGAGUAACGCGUGAGUGAUCUCGCCCCCAAGUUUGGAAUAACUGUUGGAAACGACAGCUAAUACCGGAUGUGAAUACUUAGUCGCAUGACUUAGUAUUUAAAGGUUUACUGCUUGGGGAUGAGCUCGCGUCCCAUUAUGCUAGUUGGUAAGGUAACGGCUUACCAAGGCUAUGACGGGUAGGUGGUCUGAGAGGAUGGUCACCCACACUGGGACUGAGAUACUGCCCAG
rnacentral:rRNA from 1 species